rnacentral:rRNA from 1 species
AGGGUUUGAUUAUGGCUCAGGAUGAACGCUAGCUACAGGCUUAACACAUGCAAGUCGAGGGGCAGCAUUUUAGUUUGCUUGCAAACUAAAGAUGGCGACCGGCGCACGGGUGAGUAACACGUAUCCAACCUGCCGAUAACUCAGGGAUAGCCUUUCGAAAGAAAGAUUAAUACCUGAUGGCAUAGGAUUAUCGCAUGAUAAUCCUAUUAAAGAAUUUCGGUUAUCGAUGGGGAUGCGUUCCAUUAGGCAGUUGGUGAGGUAACGGCUCACCAAACCUUCGAUGGAUAGGGGUUCUGAGAGGAAGGUCCCCCACAUUGGAACUGAGACACGGUCCAA